UCCCAUAGGGAGGUGCAAAAUUGGCCCAGGGUCAUCCGGGUUAGGCCGCCAAUGUAAAUAAGAAUGUAUUCUUAACUGACUUGCCUAGUUAAAUUUAGGUUAAAUAAAAUAGCUUUAACCAAGUGCGCAUGCGCCAAAUCCGCCUUCGGCGGCGCUAACGUAUCCCUAAAAAUCAUUUAUUUUUAUUUGUAUUUAGACAUUUUUUGUACCCAUAACGGCAAUAAUUCGGGGCUGUGGGUAGUUUAGUGGUUAGAGCGUUGGGCCAGGUUGCCAGAUCGAAUCCCCGAGCCGACAAGAGCUGGCUAAUGUUGGGACGGACUUUGAAUUUAAGGAUCCUGGGCGUCAGAGAUCGUCAUAUUCAUCGUCUCCUCAAGCUCAGGGAGGAAUAUGGAUUUCUUAAACGUUGAUGAAGCCUCGUCCUCCGACGAAGUAAGCAGUCUUUCCCUCAUUUCAAGGACCUGAGCCCUAGGACCAUGCCCCAGGACUACCUGACAUGAUGACUCCUUGCUGUCCCCAGUCCACCUGGCCAUGCUGCUGCUCCAGUUUCAACUGGCCUGGGCCCUAGGACCAUGUCCCAGGACUACCUGACAUGAUGACUCCUUGCUGUCCCCAGUCCACCUGGCCAUGCUGCUGCUCCAGUUUCAACUGUUCUGCCUUACUAUUAUUCAACCAUGCUGGUCAUUUAUGAACAUUUGAACAUCUUGGCCACGUUCUGUUAUAAUCUCCACCCGGCACAGCCAGAAGAGGACUGGCCACCCCACAUAUGCUCUCUCUAAUUCUCUCUUUCUUUCUCUCUCUCGGAGGACCUGAGCCCUAGGACCGUGCCCCAGGACUACCUGACAUGAUGGCUCCUUGCUGUCCCCAGUCCACCUGACUGUGCUGCUGCUCCAGUUUCAACCGUUCUGCCUUAUUAUUAUUCGACCAUGCUGGUCAUUUAUGAACAUUUGAACAUCUUGGUCAUGUUCUGUUAUAAUCUCUACCCGGCACAGCCAGAAGAGGACUGGCCACCCCACAUAGCCCGGUUCCUCUCUGGGUUUCUUCCUAGGUUUUGGCCUUUCUAGGGAGUUUUUCCUAGCCACCGUGCUUUUACACCUGCAUUGUAUGCUGUUUGGGGUUUUAGGCUGGGUUUCUGUACAGCACUUUGAGAUAUCAGCUGAUGUACGAAGGGCUAUAUAAAUAAAUUUGAUUUGAUAUCCAACAACACCCCAGAGAUGACUCCUUUAGCAGGUGCUCUACUCUGGAGUUCGAAGCACUACACAACUCUUGUGAUGCCCACACACGGGUUGAAUCACCAUUGUCUCCAUGUCAUUUCAAUGAAAUGGUGUUGAACCAAUGUGGAAUAAAUGUUGAAUUGAUGUCUGUG